rnacentral:lncRNA from 1 species
CCCGUCUAUACUCCAGCUGAUUUCAUCAUCUAAACCGGACUAAAUAUUAUAAGUUUACCCAUGUGAAAUUAUGUAUCAAGUAAUCAGGUAAACAAGUAUAGAAGUAGAACGAGAUGUAGAUGUAACUUGAUCUUCCCAAAACAAACAGUAAGCAAAAUGGGAAUGAUAGGUGUGGGGGUGGUAAGGCCAGGGCAACAAAGAUGGGAGCAAAGAAAAACUCCAGCCCCACGACCAUGGAUGCCGCUGCUACCACGGACCUAAGAAAACCAAAAGAAGAUGAAACACGAAUAAGGGUCUGAGAACUUAACUCCGAUCGGAUCCUCAGAAGCUGAGACGGGUGGAUAGGAUCAAGCAACACCUGCACCUGCAACAAUUUUCAGCGACAAAAGUAUCAACAUAUUGGAUUUUUAAAACAAAACCUGCACCUACACAAGUAUAUGUUAUAUUAACACAAGUGCAGAUCCUGUCCCACUCUUCACUUUGUUUACACAAAUGUUUAGAAUAACAAUCUUGGCGAGUGAUCUCAACCGGGUUUGAUCGGCAUGGCGCGUUGCUCAUUCUUCCAGUAGUGGGUGCUGAGAGGAAGGAUCCCGAACCUCCGCAACUUGUACCUAUCGAAGUGCCUUCCGCAACUUGUAGCUAUCGAAGUGAUAUAGCUCAUAACCAUGCAUGGAUGCCGCUGCUGCCACGGACCUAAGAAAACCAAAAGAAGAUGAAACACG